GAUGAACGCUGGCGGCGUGCCUAAUACAUGCAAGUCGAGCGAACAGAUGAGGAGCUUGCUCCUCUGACGUUAGCGGCGGACGGGUGAGUAACACGUGGAUAACCUACCUAUAAGACUGGGAUAACUUCGGGAAACCGGAGCUAAUACCGGAUAAUAUAUUGAACCGCAUGGUUCAAUAGUGAAAGACGGUUUUGCUGUCACUUAUAGAUGGAUCCGCGCCGCAUUAGCUAGUUGGUAAGGUAACGGCUUACCAAGGCAACGAUGCGUAGCCGACCUGAGAGGGUGAUCGGCCACACUGGAACUGAGACACGGUCCAGAGUACUACGGGAGGCAGCAGUAGGGAAUCUUCCGCAAUGGGCGAAAGCUUGACGGAGCAACGCCGCGUGAGUGAUGAAGGUCUUCGGAUCGUAAAACUCUGUUAUUAGGGAAGAACAAAUGUGUAAGUAACUAUGCACGUCUUGACGGUACCUAAUCAGAAAGCCACGGCUAACUACGUG
rnacentral:rRNA from 1 species